UUAGUUUUUUUUGACGUCGUCGCUAGAUGGUGUCGCGCACGCGAAAAAAAAAAAAAGAGAAAAGUAGCGGCUGACGCAGUUUCAAAAUGUCGUCCGAUCGCAACGUCUGCGUUGGUUCUCGGGUGUCGGAUCGUCAAAAGGAGCUUCUGCUGGCUUUUGUGAAAGAGCACCCACAGAUCGCGACGCUGUCGUGCCCGCUGGAGCCGUCGUUCACGAGGGAGGACCGGGACGACAUGUGGCAGGAGCUAGUAGCGCUUUUGAACGAAGAAGUCCCUGCGCGUAACACCAGGGCCCAGUGGCAGGCCCGAUGGAGGAAUGAGCGCUACUAUUCGCAGCAGGGUCUUGCCAAACUCCGAGGGCAGCAGAGGUGAGUGCGAGAACAAUUGUAUUGUGGUCGGUCAUCUUACACGUCCCGCUUGUGCUUUACAGCGGCACCCGAGGCGGCCAGAUUUCGGAUUACCGCGUCGUGCUUGACAGGGACGAGUGUGCGAGGCCCAUAGUUCGGGUGGUCUGAAUCGGUGAGCCCUGCUCCAGCUGCUACUGGUCUGGCUGAAGAGGAUGUGGCCCAGGAUCUUCCCCGUGCCCCCAACUCCUCAUGCCGCAACUGCGAGAUGGGGGCAACCGGCAGGCCGAGGCGCUGGAGUUACUAGCCGCAAACACCAGGCGGCAGGGCCAGGCAUCAUUGGAAAGCUGCGCCAGGUUCAACUUCUCGGUGACGUGGUCCACAAAUUGCAAGGCGUUGGUACCUUCGCCCGGGCCCUCAUUGCAGCGGAAGGCACCUGCACAGUGAUUUGUAAAGACUAGUUGUACAUAUAUGUAGAUUUAUUUUUGUUCACAUCACGAGCUAUGACACGCUGGCUUGCUUCAAUGGUACCCUGCAAUUUUUUCUCAGUUAAUUUUCUUUCAGUUAAUUUUCUUUUUCUGCAUAUCAGAAGCACUGAUGUGCUGUUUCAUUGUACAUAGUAAAGUGUAGCUCAAUGGUAAAUCGUGUCCUGCGAUGUCAUUUCUUUUUAAUCUCAUCGUGCGAGGUGAUGCAUUCAGCAGUUUUGUAGUACAUGUGCAUAGCACAGUGUGGUUUCAUUUAUAAAUCAUGUUUUGCCAUGUCAUUUUUUAAAAUCUCAUUAUACAAAGUCAUGCAUUCAGCAAUUUUGUAGUAUAUGCACAUAGUGCACUGUAGUGUAUCUUUAUGUUUAUAGUGUAUACGUGUAGAAUAUUGUGGCACACUGUACGUUUUCUAUCGAUUUUUACACAUCCUAGAAAAAAAGAAAAGCAUUUGUGAACGGUCUAGGUUGCACAACAAUUUUGAAAUAUUGCAAGACCAAAAAAUAGUUGACGAAUACGUGUUCUGUUGCUUAGAAGUGUUUAGACAAUAGGAUUGGGUACAAACAGAAAUCAAUAAUAGAGGAAGACAUAUCAGCAACCAACAACUUGCAUUUUUUUAGCGAGUUCGAUUAAUACCGGUUCGACUGUGCCUUGUUUUCAUGUAAUACAAUGACUUUCGUGCUGCGAGACGCGUGUGUUGCUGCAGAGGAGCAGCAGGCACUUUCUAAUAACUCCAUUUGUAUAUUAUAAAAAGAAGCUACUUUUAUAUUCUUUUCCUUGGCAUUAAAUUUAAGGGAUAUUUAUUUAUUUUGCUUUUUAUGUGCACUGCUCGUGAUACUUGUAAUAAAAUUUCAAUUCUGACACCA